UACGAAGGGUGCAAGCGUUACUCGGAAUUACUGGGCGUAAAGCGUGCGUAGGUGGUUUGUUAAGUCUGAUGUGAAAGCCCUGGGCUCAACCUGGGAAUUGCAUUGGAUACUGGCAGGCUAGAGUGCGGUAGAGGAUGGCGGAAUACCCGGUGUAGCAGUGAAAUGCGUAGAGAUCGGGAGGAGCAUCUGUGGCGAAGGCGGCCAUCUGGACCAGCACUGACACUGAGGCACGAAAGCGUGGGGAGCAAACAGG
rnacentral:rRNA from 1 species